UACAGAGGCCUCGAGCGUUAGGCGGAAUCACUGGGCUUAAAGCGUGUGUAGGCGGACUUCUGAGUACCUUGUGAAAUCCCACGGCUCACCCGUGGAACUGCUUGGUAUACUGGUCGUCUUGAGCCUUCUAGGGGCGAGUGGAACAAAUGGUGGAGCGGUGAAAUGCGUAGAUAUCAUUUGGAACGCCAAUGGUGAAAACAACUCGCUGGGGAAGUGCUGACGCUGAGACACGAAAGCCAGGGGAGCGAACGGG
rnacentral:rRNA from 1 species